GAUGAACGCUAGCGGCAGGCCUAAUACAUGCAAGACGAACGGUAAGUUUGAUAGCAAUAUUGAACCUAGAGUGUCGUAAGGGUGCGUAACACGUAUGCAAUCUACCCUCAACAGGAGGAUAGCUCCCCGAAAGGGGAAUUAACACUCCAUAAGAUCACAGGAUGGCAUCAUUCAGUGAUUAAAACUCCGGUGGUUGAGGAUGAGCAUGCGCAUGAUUAGUUAGUUGGCGGGGUAAUGGCCCACCAAGACGAUGAUCAUUAGGGGAACUGAGAGGUUGAUCCCCCACACUGGCACUGAGAUACGGGCCAGACUCCUACGGGAGGCAGCAGUAGGGAAUAUUGGACAAUGGGUGCGAGCCUGAUCCAGCCAUGCCGCGUGCAGGAAGACGGCCUUCUGGGUUGUAAACUGCUUUUCCACGGGAAGAACCCUCCGACGUGUCGGAGACUGACGGUACCGUGGGGAUAAGCAUCGGCUAACUCGUGCC
rnacentral:rRNA from 1 species